rnacentral:rRNA from 1 species
CGCGUAGGCGGCGCGACAAGUCACUUGUGAAAUCUCCGGGCUUAACUCGGAACGGUCAAGUGAAACUGUCAUGCUAGAGUGCAGAAGGGGCAAUCGGAAUUCUUGGUGUAGCGGUGAAAUGCGUAGAUAUCAAGAGGAACACCUGAGGUGAAGACGGGUUGCUGGGCUGACACUGACGCUGAGGCGCGAAAGCCAGGGGAGCAAACGGGAUUAGAUACCCCGGUAGUCCUGGCCCUAAACGAUGAAUACUUGGUGUCUGGAGUUAUUAUCGCUCCGGGUGCCGUCGCUAACGUUUUAAGUAUUCCGCCUGGGGAGUACGCACGCAAGUGUGAA